GGGCCAGUGGCGGAACUGGUAGACGCGCAGCACUCAAAAUGCUGUUCCUUCGGGAGUGUGAGUUCGAUUCUCACCUGGCCCACCA
rnacentral:tRNA from 3 species